GACGGAGGAUGCAAGCGUUAUCCGGAAUUACUGGGCGUAAAGCGCACGUAGGCGGGUCGCUAAGUCGGGGGUGAAAUCCUGGAGCUCAACUCCAGAACUGCCUUCGAAACUGACGAUCUUGAGUUCGGGAGAGGUGAGUGGAACUGCGAGUGUAGAGGUGAAAUUCGUAGAUAUUCGCAAGAACACCAGUGGCGAAGGCGGCUCACUGGCCCGAUACUGACGCUGAGGUGCGAAAGCGUGGGGAGCAAACAGG
rnacentral:rRNA from 1 species